rnacentral:lncRNA from 1 species
UGUGGUCAUUGCCUUGAAGUGUUCUGAUUGGAUUUGUACCUCUUCUCCUGCAGAAGGUGCCAUGUUGUAGCAUAGGAGCCAAAUGCCCAGGCUUAUUGGGCAGAUUCUAUGUGGAGAGCAGCCGUGGCCUUGAGGCUGUGUGUGGUGGUUAUACUGACUGUAGUCCCUGGCAGUUGCAGCAGGCAGGAAGCAGAGAGAAAUGUGAUGAGGCAGCUCCGGAGAGGGGGAGCCACAGGUGCACCCCUGCAUUGGGAAGACGCCAUCAACUGCAGCAAAGAGAAUAGAUGCACCACACACUCCUGGAUUUGCUGGGGAAUUUAAGAAAAAUGCAGUCAGAAAUCAAAGGUGGAGUUCUAGGGGUCCUCCUGGAAAGAAGCUAGGGAGAGAACUUCUUCUGAUUGGCAUUUUUUUCCUCUGUAGCUCUACUUUUGUCCUGCUCAAAGCAGGAAUCAGAUCAGAUGUUAAGCUGAUGACAUUUGACAGUCACAACGCAAUACUUAUUACCACAUAACAUUCCCCUACUACACCAUUUAAAUUUCUCACUCUCACCCAGAAUAUUCACAGAUGAGUCACGAGAAGUGAUAAAUAAAAAAUACUAUUUUUAAGUCAAACGUAAGUAUCAAACUGUAAAGACCCAGCAUGUAUAAAAUUUACUUUUGUAAUUAA